rnacentral:rRNA from 1 species
CGGUGCAGUGGGGGCCGGGCACGAGGGGAAGACGGAUGGUGGGAGGUGUAAUCGGAAGUACGAGGCGGAAGGCGUGGGCAGGCGGUUUUGUAAGACAGAGGUUAAAUCCCCGGGCUCAACCUGGGAACUGCCUUUGGGACUGCAAAGCUGGAGUGCGGCAGAGGGGGAUGGAAUUCCGCGUGUAGCAGUGAAAUGCGUAGAUAUGCGGAGGAACACCGAUGGCGAAGGCAAUCCCCUGGGCCUGCACUGACGCUCAUGCACGAAAGCGUGGGGAGCAAACAGGAUUAGAACCCUGGUAGUC